AUAUUGGUGGUUCUAUGGUAGAAUUCUCAUCUUCCAUGUGGGAGACCCUGGUUCAAUUCCUAGUCAAUGCA
rnacentral:tRNA from 1 species